AAAAAGAAAAACAAAGUGCAAAUCAUGUGCUUAUGUGACCAACUGAGAAAGCUAGUCACAAAAGAGCAACCCGUGGGAAGAAUGAGUCUAGAGCCCUGCCAAAUUGA